rnacentral:lncRNA from 1 species
CCUGCAAUGUGUGUCUGACACGCCCAAGCUAAACGAAUGCCCCAUGUAUUCCUGCGGUCUGCGGAUGCCUGACCGACCAAUGUCGCAUGUUUCAUUGGGCCUACACACAUUUGUGACUCUCUCGACGACCCAAAGGGCUUCAUUUCUUGGCUCAUAUUACUAGUUACACACUAGAACAGUAAAAGGGAGAGCAUGGAGCAUAAAUUUGGAGGAGGAAAACAACCAUCGGGCACACCAUCGCUGGGGUGGUCAUGUGUGGUAGACUCGUGUCACUUCUAACUGGUGCUUCUGUAGUUCACAAUAUCUUCAAACCCGAUCUGGUAUAUUUUCUACUAUAAUUUGUUUGUUUUUUUCUCUAUUAUUCUCAAUACUUGUCAUCUGUUUGACGAAAUGUCUCUUCGAACUUCUUCUUUGAAACAUCAUUACUGUUCUACUUACAAUUAAACUUACAGACAUUGCCACCUGCAGGACAUGUUGGAACUAAAAGAGAUCAGCAAGAGAAACAAUAAGUCUUACAUGUGGGUUUUCUACAGAAAUGUAUGAAUUCACAUUAAAUCCAAGUGACAGACGUUAAAGCCGCAAUUUAGUUUCAAAUAAUUAAAAAUUCCUUUUAGGACAAUUUUCUUAAAUUUGUCGGAGUUGCUGAAACAAUUUUUUACUGUAC